rnacentral:rRNA from 1 species
UACGGAGGAUGCAAGCGUUAUCCGGAAUGAUUGGGCGUAAAGCGUCCGCAGGUGGCUAUGUAAGUCUGCUGUUAAAGAGUGAGGCUCAACCUCAUAAGAGCAGUGGAAACUACAUGGCUAGAGUGCGUUCGGGGCAGAGGGAAUUCCUGGUGUAGCGGUGAAAUGCGUAGAGAUCAGGAAGAACACCGGUGGCGAAGGCGGCAUCCUGGACCAUUACUGACGCUGAGGCGCGAAAGCUAGGGGAGCAAACGGG